CCCCCCUCUCCCGACUCUCUCUCUCAUCUCUCACUCUUCCUGUUUCUGUCCUUCUCAAACCCUAGCGGCCACAACUCCCAUCUCUUCCGUUUCUCUCAUCCUAGAACGGAAGAAAAAUGGAAAAUCAGGGCUCUUCCAUUUGCUUCCACAGAUUUCUCGGGCUCCGGAUCGCUAGCAUCCGUAUGAAGUAUGUUAGAUCUGUUGCCUUCGGGAAGAAAUUUUUAACCUAGAAAAGCUUGGUUUUCAGGAAAUCGUCAAUCCUAACCUGAUGCUCGGUGACCUUUAGGGCAGCUUCAUUCUCUCUUCUUCUCCAACCAUGGUUCCAGAUCCACUGGGCAUCAAGCAAAAUCACCGCCACCACCCAACAAACCCAUUAUCUGGAAUUUCAAUUACUGUGCAUGGAGGGAGUUUUCUGUGGAGGUUUAGUUGAACAUGGAGACAAUAUCCAGUUGCUUGAAGGCAGGAAUGUCUGGUAUUGCUCACCUGUAGGAUUUCCACCUCUAUGAUUGGAAUUUCAACAACAGUAAUACUUGGUUGGGUGGUAAGAUAAAUCCUUUUUGCUCCAUUUGAAUCAUCUUAAUUACUUGGAUUUGAAUUACAACAAUUUUCAAGGAUUGCAGGUUCUCCAACAACCCAUUUAGGUGGAGAUUUGAUUCCAUAUUGUUUACACAUCUAUCUUAAAUGCUGUCUUGCAGAAUCUGUAGUUAAUUCCAAGUUUACUAUCUGAUGUGCUAUUAGAUGCUAUUUUUUGAAGAUUUUUCUUUACAAUUUAGUAAUUGUAUUGCUCCUUUAGCUGUAUGAACUCGGUAAAAGUAUCAGGUUGUGGACUCUGAACUGUUGAUUCUCUACGGUUUCUUCUGCUUUGUCCAAUUGUUAUCAUUAUUCCAAUUGGGUAAUUUUGGGUUUUUAACAAUGUUUAUUUGUUUAUUGAUAAAUUAGGGGGUCUAGACUCUUAAUUGCAGGUGAGAAAAAUAGAGAGCCAGCAAAGCUUCGUUGAGAGGAUGCACGAGUUUUCUGGGAUGGUAAUUGAUCGUUAUGCGGUUUGUAAGUUGGGUUUUUCUAACUGGUGGAUUAUCGAAUUGAUAAAAUUGGUCAAAUUGGUAGAGCAUGAGUUAUGGCAGCAGGAACAGAAGGGGUUAAUUGGUAUUCUACCCGUUCAAGAUGCUGCUGAGGCAGCAACAGUAGACUCUGUGUUGUUUAUCCUUUUUGUUUGUUCAUGAUUAUGUUGAAUGUUUUUCAGGUUAAAUGUGUCUUUUUCAUGUAGUUAA